UGGGGAAUAUUGCACAAUGGGCGCAAGCCUGAUGCAGCCAUGCCGCGUGUGUGAAGAAGGCCUUCGGGUUGUAAAGCACUUUCAGCGGGGAGGAAGGCGUUAAGGUUAAUAACCUUGGCGAUUGACGUUACCCGCAGAAGAAGCACCGGCUAACUCCGUGCCAGCAGCCGCGGUAAUACGGAGGGUGCAAGCGUUAAUCGGAAUUACUGGGGGUAAAGCGCACGCAGGCGGUUGAUUGAGUCAGAUGUGAAAUCCCCGGGCUUAACCCGGGAAUUGCAUCUGAUACUGGUCAGCUAGAGUCUUGUAGAGGGGGGUAGAAUUCCAUGUGUAGCGGUGAAAUGCGUAGGGAUGUGGAGGAAUACCGGUGGCGAAGGCGGCCCCCUGGACAAAGACUGACGCUCAGGUGCGAAAGCGUGGGGAGCAAACAGG
rnacentral:rRNA from 1 species